rnacentral:misc_RNA from 1 species
AGCACUUGAGUAGGUCUUGCACGAAAAAGAAGGAAAGGACGGUCAUGUUUUUAGGUUGCAGUAGAAACAGCGGACAUUCUACCUUUUCCCUGCGCUACUUGUCUAUCUGCUCUGCUUUAUCCGCGUUGGUUGGCUGCUGCACACAUCUCUGCCACUCAGGCCCCUACGACCAUACCCACAGCGGAAACAUACAGCUGGAAAGGGGAGGCGAGAACAGCCAUCGAGCAGAAAGCCGCUCGCCCGAUCGCCCCUGCCCCUGUGUCAUUUGAUUCAAUGGAUACGAGCGCACGCCGGUGUUUCUUGGAGGUGUACACAGACGGGUGCGAUGAGCCCCGUCUGCUGCAGCUGGAGCCGACGGUCAAGUUCCACAAUGUGCUAAGGCGCUUCGACGAGGAUGGUGACCUGUACUGGGGUGACCACCGCAUCGACCCACAGACGACCCCCGUUGCCGUGGGCAUGGACUGCGGGGUCGACAAGGCGAAUACGCUGUGGUUCAUUCCAGCCCUGUCACGCACGAAGCCCUGCGGCGUUUCGCGCGUUGACUCCACUGCGCCCUUGGAUUCGCCGCCGCGGGUAGACGCCACCGAAGGCCCGGCACUCCGUUCUGCUCGCGGCACGUCGCUUCCUGCCUACUUCGACGAUCGCGCCGCUCCUUGGCACAGCAGCGGCCACCAUGCAGAGCGCGGUUCGCUCAUUGGAGCGCGGAUGUGGUCGGCGUCAGCAGCGACAACACCGUCGUGGUACUCUCGACCGCGGCUCUUGUCUCCGGUGCCACUGUCGCUUCCUCGACCGACGGUGAGGCUACCACACACGCAGGCUCACGGCAGCGAGAAAAUCGCGCCCAUGCGCCGCCUGUACGCUGCGCCGGUCCCACGUGUGCCAUCGCCGCCGCACUCCGCCGUCCCGGUUCGGCGCAACGCACCCGUAUGCAUAGAUCCUCAUGUUCUUGUCGACGAUACCUUUGACGCCGUCCAGGCGCUCCAGACAGAGCUGCGGCACUUAAGCAGCGAGAUACGAGCGAUGCGACUUCGCGACCUUCUUGAUUACAGCAGCGUGACGCCGAUGCGUCAGGUUGUAGUGAGGCCCCCCGGCAUGGACGCUGCGCCGGCGUUGGCGUCACCAAUUUGCCUCUCGAUGGCGGAGCCCAGUGUGGAGGAGCUGGCGACGGAGCUGCACCACAAGCAGAUGCACCGACUUUACGAACAACGCCACUUGUACAUCACCCACGACUUCCACGUGUAGGCGCGUCACCGACAAGGCCAUAGUGCGCGCAUGGCGCGCUGGCCUUGGCUUGUGUUUUCGUCGCCGUUCCUUGUGCCAAAAAAAAAACCUUCCCGGGCGGGAAACGGCCGCUUGGUUUCCCCGCCACGCCAGGCGCCGUUUCAGCCAGCCCCGAAAGCCCCUGCCCCUCCCCGCGAGGCCCAGGGCCCCUCCCCCAAGGGGCG